UGAACGCUGACAGAAUGCUUAACACAUGCAAGUCAACUUGAACUUCGGUUUGGGUGGCGGACGGGUGAGUAACGCGUAAAGAACUUGCCUCACAGCUAGGGACAACAUUUGGAAACGAAUGCUAAUACCUGAUAUUAUGAUUAUAUGGCAUCGUAUAAUUAUGAAAGCUAUAUGCGCUGUGAGAGAGCUUUGCGUCCCAUUAGCUAGUUGGAGAGGUAACAGCUCACCAAGGCGAUGAUGGGUAGCCGGCCUGAGAGGGUGAUCGGCCACAAGGGGACUGAGACACGGCCCUUACUCCUACGGGAGGCAACAGUGGGGAAUAUUGGACAAUGGACCGAGAGUCUGAUCCAGCAAUUCUGUGUGCACGAUGAAGUUUUUCGGAAUGUAAAGUGCUUUCAGUUGGGAAGAAAAAAAUGACGGUACCAACAGAAGAAGUGACGGCUAAAUACGUG
rnacentral:rRNA from 1 species